AAUAGAUACCCCGGUAGUCCACGCCGUAAACGAUGAGUGCUAAGUGUUAGAGGGUUUCCGCCCGUUUAGUGCUGCAGCUAACGCAUUAAGCACUCCGCCUGGGGAGUACGGGCCGCAAGGCUGAAACUCAAAGGAAUUGACGGGGGCCCGCACAAGCGGUGGAGCAUGUGGUUUAAUUCGAAGCAACGCGAAGAACCUUACCAGGUCUUGACAUCCUCUGCCAACCCUAGAGAUAGGGCGUUCCCCUUCGGGGGACAGAGUGACAGGUGGUGCAUGGUUGUCGUCAGCUCGUGUCGUGAGAUGUUGGGUUAAGUCCCGCAACGAGCGCAACCCUUGAUCUUAGUUGCCAGCAUUCAGUUGGGGCACUCUAAGGUGACUGCCGGUGACAAACCGGAGGAAGGUGGGGAUGGACGUCAAAUCAUCAUGCCCCUUAUGACCUGGGGCUACACACGUGCUACAAUGGAUGGUACAAAGAGCUGCGAACCCGCGAGGGUAAGCGAAUCUCAUAAAGCCAUUCUCAGUUCGGAUUGUAGG
rnacentral:rRNA from 1 species